rnacentral:rRNA from 1 species
GAUGAACGCUGGCGGCGUGCCUAAUACAUGCAAGUCGAGCGAACGGAUGAGAAGCUUGCUUCUCUGAUGUUAGCGGCGGACGGGUGAGUAACACGUGGAUAACCUACCUAUAAGACUGGGAUAACUUCGGGAAACCGGCGCUAAUACCGGAUAAUAUUUUGAACCGCAUGGUUCAAAAGUGAAAGACGGUCUUGCUGUCACUUAUAGAUGGAUCCGCGCUGCAUUAGCUAGUUGGUAAGGUAACGGCUUACCAAGGCAACGAUGCAUAGCCGACCUGAGAGGGUGAUCGGCCACACUGGAACUGAGACACGGUCCAGACUCCUACGGGAGGCAGCAGUAGGGAAUCUUCAGCAAUGGGCGAAAGCCUGACGGAGCAACGCCGCGUGAGUGAUGAAGGUCUUCGGAUCGUAAAACUCUGUUAUUAGGGAAGAACAUAUGUGUAAGUAACUGUGCACAUCUUGACGGUACCUAAUCAGAAAGCCACGGCUAACUACGUG